UAUACUUAGUAUAUUUUUUAAAAAAUCAAUGGAAAACACUAAUUGCAAAAGAAAAUGUUUUUCUCACAUAGGAACUUACUAUAUUUUGCCACUAUUUUACUAAAAUUCAGAUUUCCCAUUUUUUAUUAUAGAAUUUUGAAUAAUUCCCUGCAAAUUUUGUCAUCUAUGCCAGCAUUCAUCGCAUACUCUUAAAGGGAGUUGAAACAUCCAGAACCAUCUUAGAAAUCACACGUUCAAGACAAGAAAGUCUUUAUCUUCCUGAUUUCCUGGAUCAAUACAUAUGUAGCAUGAUCUGGCUGACAUACAAACUCACCAAGAUCUGUAAUAGAAGAAAUAAAAUUCUAUCAUAUUUGA